GACUUAUCGAACAGGGACUGUGAAGGGAUAACUGAAUGGAUUCAGUGGAGUAAAUAGGAAAUUUACUCGUCAGGAUGACAAAUGGAACACUUCAGGAUGAAGUAGGGACACCUCCAGGAAGGAGAAGAGAGUCGAGACAGGACGAAUCGACGGGUCAAGGAUUGAUCGGUAGGACAUCUCUAGGAUGGAGAGAUAAAGGACUAAGCUGACGGAUUCAGCGUGUUCAUGGAAUGAUGCAGGGAGCACCAUAGUAGCGGGAUUGCUGCAAGUAAGACCUAAGGGCGCGACGUAAGUCGCGCCCGCUCUUUUUUGG
rnacentral:other from 1 species